UAAGGAAUAUGCAGUCCUUGUGGACUGAUAAAAUGUUGACGUAAACUUGUUUGUUUAGUUUUGAGGGAAUAAUUCUCUCAAAACUUUUUUUAAUCGUUCUUUGAAAACUAGAUAAUCGUAAGAAGAAGUAACCAAGUAAAAACCGAGUGAAUUGCCAUUUUAGUUUUUCUCUCUUAUUAAAUUAAGAGUAAAACCUUUUUA
rnacentral:misc_RNA from 1 species